rnacentral:rRNA from 1 species
AUACGAAGGGGGCUAGCGUUGUUCGGAAUUACUGGGCGUAAAGCGCUCGUAGGCGGAUUGGUCAGUUAGGGGUGAAAUCCCAGGGCUUAACCCUGGAACUGCCUCUAAUACUGCCAGUCUUGAGUUCGGGAGAGGUGAGUGGAAUUCCUAGUGUAGAGGUGAAAUUCGUAGAUAUUAGGAAGAACACCAGUGGCGAAGGCGGCUCACUGGCCCGAUACUGACGCUGAGGCGCGAAAGCGUGGGGAGCAAACAGGAUUAGAAACCCCAGUAGUCC